UUUGAUCCUGGUUCAGGAUGAACGCUGGCGGCGUGCUUAACACAUGCAAGUCGAGCGAUGAAGUUUCCUUCGGGAAACGGAUUAGCGGCGGACGGGUGAGUAACACGUGGGUAACCUGCCUCAUAGAGUGGAAUAGCCUUCCGAAAGGGAGAUUAAUACCGCAUAAUGUUGAAAGAUGGCAUCAUCAUUCAACCAAAGGAGCAAUCCGCUAUGAGAUGGACUCGCGGCGCAUUAGCUAGUUGGUGGGGUAACGGCCUACCAAGGCGACGAUGCGUAGCCGACCUGAGAGGGUGAUCGGCCACAUUGGGACUGAGACACGGCCCAGACUCCUACGGGAGGCUGCAGUGGGGAAUAUUGCACAAUGGGGGAAACCCUGAUGCAGCGACGCCGCGUGAAGGAAGAAGUAUCUCGAUAUGUAAACUUCUAUCAGCAGGGAAGAAAAUGACGGUACCUGACUAAGAAGCCCCGGCUAACUACGUGCCAGCAGCCGCGGUAAUACGUAGGGGGCAAGCGUUAUCCGGAUUUAUUGGGCGUAAAGCGAGCGCAGGCGGUUUCUUAAGUCUGAUGUGAAAGCCUUCGGCUCAACCGAAGAAGUGCAUCGGAAACUGGGAAACUUGAGUGCAGAAGAGGACAGUGGAACUCCAUGUGUAGCGGUGAAAUGCGUAGAUAUAUGGAAGAACACCAGUGGCGAAGGCGGCUGUCUGGUCUGUAACUGACGCUGAGGCUCGAAAGCAUGGGUAGCAAACAGGAUUAGAUACCCUGGUAGUCCAUGCCGUAAACGAUGAGUGCUAGGUGUUGGAGGGUUUCCGCCCUUCAGUGCCGCAGCUAACGCAUUAAGCACUCCGCCUGGGGAGUACGACCGCAAGGUUGAAACUCAAAGGAAUUGACGGGGGCCCGCACAAGCGGUGGAGCAUGUGGUUUAAUUCGAAGCAACGCGAAGAACCUUACCAGGUCUUGACAUCCUUUGACCACUCUAGAGAUAGAGCUUUCCCUUCGGGGACAAAGUGACAGGUGGUGCAUGGUUGUCGUCAGCUCGUGUCGUGAGAUGUUGGGUUAAGUCCCGCAACGAGCGCAACCCUUAUUACUAGUUGCCAGCAUUUAGUUGGGCACUCUAGUGAGACUGCCGGUGACAAACCGGAGGAAGGUGGGGACGACGUCAAAUCAUCAUGCCCCUUAUGACCUGGGCUACACACGUGCUACAAUGGAUGGUACAACGAGUUGCGAGGCCGCGAGGUUUAGCUAAUCUCUUAAAACCAUUCUCAGUUCGGAUUGUAGGCUGCAACUCGCCUACAUGAAGCCGGAAUCGCUAGUAAUCACGGAUCAGCAUGCCGCGGUGAAUACGUUCCCGG
rnacentral:rRNA from 1 species